rnacentral:lncRNA from 1 species
CCGCCGCCGUAUCACUAUCCCUAUGUCGAGCUUUCUGCAACAAAAUUUGCAGGCUCGACAAAAAAACCUCUGGUAUUUAUUUAUUUAGCAAUAUUACAAAAAAAUAAAACUAAAUACUUAACUCCCGAGAAAAAUUCAAAACAGGGAAGUCCAUAAAAUUUGACAAAAUCAAACGCUACCAAUCAACUGAACAAUUUGUACAGG